rnacentral:misc_RNA from 1 species
AUACAUACAUACAUACAUACAUAUUAUAUAUGGAUACUUGCCUGUGGAUUAAAUAUAUCAAACCAUUACAAUGACAACACAUUAAGGUUUGUACUUUGUCAUGAUAUUAUAAGUGCAUUGAAACCAACUAAAGAUGGUGACAAUUCUUUAUUGCAAUCAUAAUAUAUUGUUUAAAUACAUAUAUCAUAACACAAGUACGGAGAAAAUUUGCCACAGAUAGGAAAGUUCUAGCUGUUAUUGAGGUAUUGUUAAAAAAUGCUAUUAAAAAAUGCACAAAAUUUUGUAUGGUGAUAUCCAGAUAGCAUAUCAUAACUAUUAUGGCUGGUACGGCCAUUAUACAUAUAAAAGGGCCUCUUGUGAGGUUCUUGCCAAAAGAAAAGCUUCCUGUAUGUAGAAGCAAGCAAACCAUAAAUACCUCCAGAACCACUUUCCAGCCCUCAUAACCCAAAAUUCACUUCCAAAGUUCAAUUUUAACAAGAUUUUCACUAAUCUUCAAGUGGGUAGAAGUAUAACUACAGGAAUUUUGCAGAAUAUGGUAAAAUGUAAUUCUCUUGGUGGUGACUACCAAAUAUCUAUGUAACUCACGUAUUUCUUUUCUAGAAUUAGUUAUUUUAGGUGUUGGAAGUGUUAAUAUGUAACAUAAAUUGGUUAAAUUGUAAUGAAUUUAUGUAUUUGAGUAAUUUUGCUUUUCUUUUUAAUUUCAAAACAGCGAUGGCUGCGACACUUGACGUUGUGACCAUGUGCACAUGAUUAGAAAGAGAGUUCUAAUGCAACAAUAAGAAGGAAGAAUAGGAGAGAGAUCCAAGCCACUGACACCUGCUGCAUUUAAAAAGGCCACACGAAAAUAUGAACCCAGAAUUCACAUCAUAUGGGACAUCAUUGAAUACUUAUUAAAUAUUCUUUCCAUUAUUUACUAAGUCAGCCAUAGUUUUAAAUAACGGCUGCUACGUAAUGUAACGGCCGUUACUUACAGGUUUCUCAUGGGGCCAUUACACCUUAUCCCAUUAUUUAAAGACAGAAGAUGAGUUGCAUUGGUAACUGUUUUUAUCACCGUUACCUAAUGGUAAUGGAUAUUAUUUACCGUUAAAUAACGGCAACGGCCAUCACCUCAAUAUUCAGCUGACAAAAAACACAUGCAUGCAGUGU